CUGCCUCCCUGUUUCCCUGGAGACCCGAGGCUUUCUAUCUUGCCCCAUUUAGGGCACAGCUGCAAGCUAUAAAAUCGUUUUGAUGCAGCUUGGCAUUGGGGCUUCAGCACCAGGGUGUCAGUCCUGUUACAUCUGGUUCCUUUUACUGGUGUCACCCUACACAAGGGCCACAGGGACUUGACACCUUUGACUACUGUUUUUCUCACUGUUAUAUCUUCUCUGCCUGGAACAUAUUUUUUUGGAGUCCCAAAGAGAGUGACAAUUUUGACACCUCCAGGUUUUAGUGAAAUCUGCUUGAGAGUUGUGAGUGCCUCCAGGUCUAUGAUGGAUCAGAAACUUUCAGAUCUCAGGGAAGACAUAGGAGUAUUAAAAAACAAGGAACUGCCAACCAGUUUUCCAUUUUAAAAUUCUCACCAGCAACGCAUGUGAGUUCCAGUUGUUCCAUGUUCUCACCUCCACUUGCAGACUCUCCUGAUACAAACCUUUGAAACCCUGGAAUGUUUUAAUAAAUUCUACUUCAGUUUCUCUUGGGAAUUUACAGGGGCAAUGACCUUGAAGGAGGGAGAAGUGCACUCUGAGUAGAUAGAACAGCCUUGGCUACAGCCCAGCUCCACCACCCAGGUGCAGAGGACAGCCCUCUGAUAUCUCUGGAAUGAUUUAGCUUUAUUGCCUAUUGUCUCUCUCCAAAUUGCCUUCAGGAUGAAUGUCUCAGCCAGAACCCAUAUAGAGGACACUAGCUUCCCAAAUACCUCCUGAGAUGCGGACACUCUCCCCGUUUAUGAAACAUCCUUCAAACUGACCAUUAGUAGAGGCUGUAUUUUGCACCUUAGGAAGAGGAAAUUACAUUGCUUUACAAGUUCUGCAUUCUGGCUUAGGCAGUGAAUUAGAUGAGGGAUACAGGCCAGGGUGCUCUUUCCUACUGGGCCUAAUACCCAAUUUAUUUUCAUUUACAUUAAUUUCUCUACAUCAUUGACUGCGCGAGGCAUUAAACUGUUAAAUACAAGCAAUUCCCAAGUGCUUGAAACAAAUAGAAAUGUUUAAUGAAUAAUAAUAAAAAAGGAGCCUAUGGAAGAAACCAAUAUGCAAAAUUGUGAAAACAUGUUCAUCAACUUUUCUCUUUGCAGAGAGCUUAACAAACUCUUUCUGCCUCUCUUUUUCCCU